UGUAAGCGUAUACCAAAGUUGUUGCAGUUAAAACGCUCGUAGUCGGAAUUUGGCAGUUCCGGAUGUGUGCACGUCGUGUGCGCACUUCGCGGGGAUUGCUUUUGUGGUCUUGCGUAGGAUGAGGCACUUUUAUUAGUGAACGUCCUCACGCAACCACUUUUUACUGUGAGAAAAUCAGAGUGCUCAAAGCAGGCAUUUGCCGUGAAUGUAUUAGCAUGGAAUAAUAGAAUAGGACUUGGUUCUAUUUUGUUGGUUUGUUGGGACUGAGUAAUGAUUGAGAGGGACAGUUGGGGGCAUUUGUAUUUCGGUGCUAGAGGUGAAAUUCUUAGAUUACCGAAAGACAAACUGCUGCGAAAGCGUCUGCCAAGGAUGUUUUCAUUGA
rnacentral:rRNA from 1 species